rnacentral:rRNA from 1 species
AUAACAGGUCUGUGAUGCCCUUAGAUGUCCUGGGCCGCACGCGCGCUACAAUGAUACAUGCAACGAGUCCACCUUGCUCGAGAGGGCCUGGGUAAUCUUGUAAAUGUGUAUCGUAUUAGGGAUAGAUUUUUGCAAUUCUGAAUCUUGAACGAGGAAUUCCUAGUAAAUGCGAGUCAUCAGCUCGCGUUGAUUACGUCCCUGCCCUUUGUACACACCGCCCGUCGCACCUACCGAUUGAAUGGUUCGGUGAAAAUUUCGGACUGCGACUCGGAUGCUUUCGGGCAACCGAGCUGUGGAAAGUUGUUUAAACCUCAUCAUUUAGAGGAAGGUGAAGUCGUAACAAGGUUUCCGUAGGUGAACCUGCAGAAGGAUCA